rnacentral:rRNA from 1 species
GAUUACGAGGUUGAUAGGCGAUAGGUGUAAGCGCGGUAACGCGUUGAGCCAAGUCGUACUAAUAAAGCGAAA